rnacentral:lncRNA from 1 species
ACUCCCUGAGCCGUGGUGCCAGGGCCACCCAAGGCUGGGGAGGAUGGGGAAGGGGGCGGCAAGCCCUCUUCUUGCAGGAGUCCCCGCUGAGCUCCCUUCACCAGGGGCUAGGUGAAGGGAGCGAGGCCAACCAGAAGCCCUAGUGGAGAGCCCAUCCAGGGCAGGGGUUCCAAGGAGGACAAAAAAGCCGGUUAGUGAAGGUGCGCUCUGCGCCAGGGACUGUGCCGGCAGACACAGGCACUACUGACACCGCCCCCAGCCCUUCGGAGGAGUCCUCGGCUCCUCAUCUCCAGCUCCAGCCCCUUUCCAGCCGGCUGGUGGGCGGCUGGGAGUGGGGACACUGGAUCGGAGGGGACCCUUCACGGGAGUACUCGCUGCCCUCACUCGUCUCGGAACGCGGCUGGACCCGGAGUCCCCGACCGCAGCCCGCGCACGACCCCCGGGAGCCUGUCUCCGCGGCCGCCGACCCACGUCCGCGCUGCCGCCCCACUGCCAGGUGGCCCGAGAGAUGCAGGAGGAAGGAGGGGCGCGCGGGGCGGGCGGAGGAGGGUG